CUGGCAAUAUUCACCACGUUGUAAACACCGAUUCACGUCCGAUCACCGAAGUUAAGCAAUGUGAGGCCUGGACAGUACUUGGGAGGGUGACCACCGGGUGUAGCUGUAGACU